UACGGGGGGGGCAAGCGUUGUCCGGAUUUAUUGGGCGUAAAGAGCGUGUAGGCGGCCAGGUAGGUCGGUUGUGAAAACUGGAGGCUUAACCUUCAGACGUCGACCGAAACCAUCUGGCUAGAGUCCGGAAGAGGAGAGUGGAAUUCCUGGUGUAGCGGUGGAAUGCGCAGAUAUCAGGAAGAACACCCGUGGCGAAAGCGGCUCUCUGGGACGGUACUGACGCUGAGACGCGAAAGCGUGGGGAGCGAACAGG
rnacentral:rRNA from 1 species